rnacentral:rRNA from 1 species
GAUGAACGCUGGCGGCGUGCUUAACACAUGCAAUUCGAACGGAAAGGCUCCUGCUUGCAGGGGUACUCGGGUGGCGAACGGGUGAGUAACACGUGGGUGAUCUGCCCUGCACUUCGGGAUAAGCCUGGGAAACUGGGUCUAAUACCGGAUAGGACGAUGGUUUGGAUGCCAUUGUGGAAAGUUUUUCGGUGUGGGAUGAGCUCGCGGCCUAUCAGCUUGUUGGUGGGGUAAUGGCCUACCAAGGCGUCGACGGGUAGCCGGCCUGAGAGGGUGUACGGCCACAUUGGGACUGAGAUACGGCCCAGACUCCUACGGGAGGCAGCAGUGGGGAAUAUUGCACAAUGGGCGCAAGCCUGAUGCAGCGACGCCGCGUGGGGGAUGACGGCCUUCGGGUUGUAAACUCCUUUCGCUAGGGGCGAAGCGCAAGUGACGGUACCUGGAGAAGAAGCACCGGCUAACUACGUGCCAGCAGCCGCGGUAAUACGUAGGGUGCGAGCGUUGUCCGGAAUUACUGGGCGUAAAGAGCUCGUAGGUGGUUUGUCGCGUCGUUUGUGUAAGCCCGCAGCUUAACUGCGGGACUGCAGGCGAUACGGGCAUAACUUGAGUGCUGUAGGGGAGACUGGAAUUCCUGGUGUAGCGGUGGAAUGCGCAGAUAUCAGGAGGAACACCGAUGGCGAAGGCAGGUCUCUGGGCAGUAACUGACGCUGAGGAGCGAAAGCAUGGGUAGCGAACAGGAUUAGAUACCCUGGUAGUCCAUGCCGUAAACGGUGGGCGCUAGGUGUGAGUCCCUUCCACGGGGUUCGUGCCGUAGCUAACGCAUUAAGCGCCCCGCCUGGGGAGUACGGCCGCAAGGCUAAAACUCAAAGGAAUUGACGGGGGCCCGCACAAGCGGCGGAGCAUGUGGAUUAAUUCGAUGCAACGCGAAGAACCUUACCUGGGCUUGACAUACACCAGACCGGGCCAGAGAUGGUCUUUCCCUUUGUGGUUGGUGUACAGGUGGUGCAUGGUUGUCGUCAGCUCGUGUCGUGAGAUGUUGGGUUAAGUCCCGCAACGAGCGCAACCCUUGUCUUAUGUUGCCAGCACGUUAUGGUGGGGACUCGUGAGAGACUGCCGGGGUUAACUCGGAGGAAGGUGGGGAUGACGUCAAAUCAUCAUGCCCCUUAUGUCCAGGGCUUCACACAUGCUACAAUGGUCGGUACAACGCGUCUGCGAGCCUGUGAGGGUGAGCUAAUCGCUGUAAAGCCGGUCGUAGUUCGGAUUGGGGUCUGCAACUCGACCCCAUGAAGUCGGAGUCGCUAGUAAUCGCAGAUCAGCAACGCUGCGGUGAAUACGUUCCCGGGCCU